CCCCGGUGGCCUGCCUGGGAUCGGUUGGGUUCAGCGCUGCUGCGUGGGUGCUUGCACGGCGGCGGGAGCAGCGGUGCGAAGAGAAAAAAGCUGAAGCUUAGAAAAGGGAACAGGAGAGACACCCUCUGUGAAGUCCGUAUGCUGAAUGCACCUGUAAACACUGUUUUCCUAACAGAAAGCACAGCAAAGUGUAAGGCACCAACUGAAGCUCAAUCCUGCAGGCUGUCUCUCCAGGAACCCUCUGCUGUGCUGCAGUCAGAGGAUGCAUCUUCCCACUGACAGUUGGCUGCUGUGAAUAACUGCUGUAUUCUCUCAUUUCUGUUUUCUUCUGUCUCACCAGGAGCCUGUGAUUACUGUUUUGUUGUACAAGAAGUCCUGUGCCUUCCAAAACUUCAGCUGCCAAUACUAAAUGAUAUUAAAAGGCCCAUCUGUCUGAGAACAAAAAAUUCUGUCAGAGCUACCUGAAGCAUCGUAUUUCUCUGUAAUCUGAUACCUAUGACUUAUUAAAAUCUGAAGGUUUAACUAUC